ensembl:lncRNA
GUGAGAUACAAAACUUACCUUCUGACAAGUUUUGGAGCACUGGGCCCCUUAAGAUGUCCACAGAGUUUCUGUGAGAUCAACGUCCACUCUCUGCCACACACAGGUCUUAUCGGAGUCUGGGUUGUUUCUCUCCAGCUCAGUCCCUGGAGUCCGGUUAGCGUGAGGUCAUCAGUUACCAUGAUGUCCUAGGCCAGUGCACUACCCUGCUUGGUGCAGAGACCAGCAUGAGCCCCGUGGAUCACAGGCCCCAUGGAUCAUACAGUGGCGGAGGGACAGAUGGUCAGUUCACCGAAGGUGUGUCACCAGCCCUGCUGGGAGGCAAACUGCUUCUCGCGGUCCUUUCCAACAGGUACAGUGGGAAAAGCGCCCUCCAGCCUAGUGACUGCAUACCACCAGACACUGGAGGACACGGAGAACACGCACCUGAAGUAGCCCCUGCACUGAGCCACCAUCUGACUGGGUCCACAGUGAUUCACAGUUGGUCCCUCAAACCCACUCAUCUUCUGCACGGGCAGAACAGGCAAGGUAAGCGGAAAUACGGCAGGCUGCACCACUCUGACCUUCACAUCCCUGGUAGUGGCCCCAAGCUCUGCAGUUCCAGGGACGCCCAGAGGCUGUUCUGGAGUCUUCCACUCGGCCUUUCCCACCCGAAAGCCUGUGGGUCGCUCCAUGUGUCAGAGGAGCAAUGUGGGAAUUCUGCCAAGUGUGUCCGUCCAGACGAUGGAGUCGAGAACUAGACAUACACGUGGGACAGACUCAGAGACACACCUGGCCGGCUGUCGGGGGACCUGACCCCAACACCCCCUCCCCUGGCUGAUGGAUUGUGGUGGCACCCUCCAGAGAGGAACAGGCUGCCCGGACUCCUCUCCCCUUGUGUGGUCCUCGGCGCGUGUGGCAUCCAUCUGCGCCUCCGUCGGCCAGGCGGCCUCCUCCACACGCAUCUCUACGUCCUCUCCUGCUCUGACAAGGACACGGCGUCUGGACUCCAGGCUCACCCUGCUCCCAUGUGAGCUCAACUCACAACGUCUGCACUGACCCUGAUUACAAAAAAGGUCACACCUGCCAGCCUUCGAGCAGGUGAAUGGGGGCAGGAGGGUGGGGAACACUGCCUCCCGCAGUGUGUCUCGGCCCCUGACUCACCCAGCGGCUCCCUCGAGACCCCUGCCGUCUGGGCCCCCUCCCCUCCUGAGAUUCCGUGGCAUUUCAGUCCUGCUGGGAGGGCAACUGGGUGGGCCAAUUUCCUGGCUGUAGCCCUGUGGUUCCCGUGGUGUGGGCACCUUCACCCACCUCGAUCCUGAGAGGACCCUGGUCUCUGACCCUCCUCAAACCCCUAGUCGUUGCAAUAGUCCCUGGUCUGGUCCACAAGGAUUCUAUAAGAUCUCCAGUCAGGACCCUACUUUUUCCCCUACAGAAUAUGGGGCACUGUGUCCACAUGUGUGGAGUCUGGCCCUACACACAUAAGCACUGCUGGGCCCGGCUUCCCUCAUCCUGGCCCUGGGCUUACAUAGGGCAUCUCUUCUGGAUCAUCCCCACAGCGCUCCAGGCAGUGCACUUCUGGGGAGGGACCACACGUCACAUGGGCUUUGUCACCUGGGCUCCCAGCCUCCCAAGUUACAGCAACCCCAGAAGACACAGCUCCCUUACUUCUCCUGCUCCCUCGAUGGAGUAUUUCUCAGGGUAGGGUGACCCCUGGGGGUGGGACCCAAACCUUCCCAGCCCGCAGCCCCAGACCUUCCUCCUCUCUCCAGCUGGUCCCACAAACCUGCAUGUCCCCUACACAGCCAGGGCCCCACCUUCCUGCCUCAUCCAGCUUCCACACCCACCAUCCCAUUUGUAGGGGCUCAAACUCAAACACACACACAAAUACAUGAGGUGUCCACUCUGUGUGUGUGACAGGUGUCCCUGAGAACAAACUCACUUGCUACUUUCAAGUUUUCACCCAGGAUAAAAG